AUGGUGGCUUCUGCCCCCUGACCCGGAAGCAGUUCUCGGUGUUUCCGGUCCAAGGAGGUUUCCUCCGCCCUCCCCGGCCCCCUUGGAUUCAACAUUCCGUGGUUUCCCAGGGCUUUGAUCAUCUGAUCUCAUGAAGCACUCUUUGAGCACUAGAUGCAGACAUUCUAUCUGCGAGCAAAGAAUCGGUCACCAAGAGCGUUGUGAGUCACGAUGUUCUUGUUAUGUGACCUUGAGCAACUUCACAUCUCCAGACUUUUGUUUCAAUUUCUAAAAUUGUGGGAAGAUGACCUAUAUCACAGCUAACAUUUGUUGAAUGUUAUGUUCUGGGCAGUAGGUCAAAGGUUUUCUAUGUAUAACGGCCCUUAAUCUUCACGUGACGGUAUUCCUAUUUUAUAGAAGCUGUGGUGCAGAGAGACUUAACUUGCUUGUUGUGGCACAGCUAGUUAAGAAGAGCUAGAAGUCAAACCCAGCAACCCGGUUUCAGAGCCACAAAAAAGAGCAGGAUUUGAUGGAGAUGUCAUGUGGGAGGAGCCCAGGAUGCAUGUAAAGCAGAAGCAGAAGAUACAGCCUCAUAUAUUGACAGGGUUUGAUCCUUCCUGUGGGCAAUGGAAAGUUGGAAACGUUUAAGCAGAAGAAUAUGACUAGUGACUAUAUGUCCCAUUCUUAUAGGGAAGUCUCAGAUUAUGCCUUCUUUCAUAUGCAUAAUUACUAGAACCUUCUUUUUCUUAAAUAAAAAUAUGGUCACCUUAGAAAAAAAUUAAUAUGGCCACUUAGAUCAAAUUAAUUUUAUAAAGAGCUCUGAUGACAGUUGCACAACAAAGGCUGCAGAGAGGACCCAUUAGGAGGCAAUUUAUAUUCUAAGAAGAGAUGCUGAGGCAGCCCUGAGACAGUACCAGUGAGUGACAAGAAGGUUCAGAUUUAGGAAGUCCGUUUAGAACUUUGUGAUUAACUGGGGCAAGGGGUAUAGGGUGGAUGCAGGCUCUCAACAAACUCACUUCUAGGUUUUUAACUUAGAGCAAAUAGUGGAAGCAGACAGAAUUGGCAGAAAGGACAAGGGUGUGAUAGGGAGUUGAUACUCCUCCAGCUUCUCUGCACUUCACAGUAGGACUUGUGCCUUCCUUUAUCUGGAUCCAGUACUUCUACUAAUGACAACAGAAUAAUGACCUGCUGGUACUGUGAUUCCUAGUAAAGGUGCACUUACACUAUGGUACUUAACUAGAUCUCUAGCUCUUUUUCACAUUCAGUGCAAUGUAGAGUAAUAAGCUCUACCUUUUUCACACCGUUUCAGAAUGUGUAAGAUACGGACUUGUUUACUGUUUACUGGCUCAAUGGACUGUACGCUUUAUGAGAGUCUGCAUUAGCUCUUUUGUUCACCCUAGUGCCUAGAAAAGUGCCUGGUUGUAUAGGAUGGCAUCUAUUUUCCUGUGUGCAUACAUUUCUUUAAAAAUUCAAAUGUAACACUGCCUGAUAACUACUGUUAAAUUUUGUUGAUUUUAUUCCAGGUUUUACACAGCUAUUGCUGAAUUUUCAGCUACUGUAAUUCAUCCAAUAAACACUGAGUACCAACAUAGGCCAGGUGCUGGGAUACAAGAGCACAAAAUGAAUGUGGCUUACAAUCAUGGAACUUAACAGUAGACAUAACAGACAGUUGUAACAGUUUGUAUAGGUGUUGCUGAAGGAGAAGAUUCUAGAGAGACAUUCAGGAAGAGGAUCGUCUUUGCAAACCACACUUGCCAGGUGCAGGCUGCCGAGAAUCACCAGUUCUAGGUCAGUGAUGGCUGAACAACGUAGCCAGUCAUUCCAGGUAGAGGCCAUUUCAUCUACUUCCACUAGUUAGAAGGCACUUUGAGGAUAGAUACCCUUUUAUUAUUCUGGAUAUACUCUACAGUUUAGCUUGGCUUAAACAGAACACAUUCUCAGUAGGUUUUUUUGGGUCGUUUAAUUGAAAGAAUAGAAAAAGCAGGUACUUAAAAAUAAAAGUAUGACUUUAAUUCUGAGAAGCUUAACAGGUUUUAGCCAAACCUUAAAAAUUCAUUUUUCCAGCACUUGUACAAUGAGAAACUAGAUAGGCUUUCUAUAAUUCGACUGGUCUGAAAUUGUGUAUUGUUCUAGUUACAAUGCCUAGAUAUCAUAAGGUUAACAGAAACACAUCCUGUUACAUCUACAGCCAUAUAGAGAAUGGUGUUCUGAAUGCCAAGUUCUUUGUUGUUUCAGAAAUAACUAAAAUUAAUGAUCUGACUUUGAAUAUCCCUAA